AGAGUUUGAUCCUGGCUCAGGACGAACGUUGGCGGCGCGUCUAAGGCAUGCAAGUCGAACGGAUCACUUGUUGUAGCAAUAUGAUGAGUGAUUAGUGGCAAACGGGUGCGUAACACAUUGGUAACCUGCCUCGAAGACGGGUAUAACCCCCCGAAAGGGGGACUAAUUCCCGAUGGUCAUAAGGGACGCAAGUCUUCUUAUGUAAAUACUUCGGUGCUUCGAGAGGGACCUAUGGUCUAUCAGCUUGUUGGUGAGGUAAUGGCUCACCAAGGCUAUGACGGAUAGGGGGUGUGAGAGCACGACCCCCCUCACUGGGACUGAGACACUGCCCAGACACCUACGGGUGGCUGCAGUCGAGAAUCUUCCCCAAUGGCCGAAAGGCUGAGGGAGCGACGCCGCGUGCAGGAUGAAGGGCUUCGGCUCGUAAACUGCUUUUUCAGGGACGAAUGUGACGGUACCUGAAGAAUA
rnacentral:rRNA from 1 species